GUUCGUCGACGUCCCUCACCACCGCGUCACCACACGCGCUAUGUGCAUUUCGCCUGCCAUCGGGAUCCAGGGAGACUAACACGACGUUUACGAUGUCUACCAACCACCCAGGAUUGCGCAGGAAGCUGCAGCCGAGCACAUACUCGUAUCCUGCGUUAUCCAUAUUGUCAUAAACACAGAAAAUAAAAGUCUUGAUUGCGCUACCAUCGCAACUCCUUUGACAUCAUCAGCGGAUCCGGGGCGAUCCUUUACUUCCGCUCCAGGCAGUGCUUCUUCAGCGAUGGAUGCCGAGCUGUCCGUUGACCAACGACGCGCUAUUCACACAGUGACUCGGCAUUCAAGUUGAUGGUUUCGCUGGUCCCGUCGGUUGAGUGACCUUUGGCAUCUAUUUCGGCUUGAUACACGCGCAGCUGCUUCGCGGCGGUAGUAUCCAAGGGUUGAUACCGGAACAGCCAGUAUUUGCUCCUUGGUGGCCCGUGCCGAUGCCGGCCCUGUGGCCGCAGAUGACCGCGGAUCAGGAAUUAACGACGCCACAGAUCCAUAUCAGCUGAUCAGUGCGGUGAUCUGGAUGCCCCGGAUGACGAACUGGCUUUGUUGAAGCAUGACUGGCACGA